GUCUUUUCAAAAUGAGACGCACACGAAAUAGCAUGCAUAUAGCCCAAAUGCGCACAUAUUCGAUUAUAAAAUUCCUUUGAAAUACAACAGUAUGAAAAUGUUUUCAAUAUAAUAUACCUGGGAAUUUGUCAGCGAGACGUUUCUUUUGUAAUCGUUCACUAACAGCCAUUGAUAACAAAUGCCACGAAAAAUGCGCCAACAAAAUUCUUAAAAUCCCGGGAUGUUCGUUAAAGAAGUGAACCUUGGAUGAGUGUGAAUUUGCGCGCGCGAGCAGACCUGUAAUGUAGAACAUUGAAAGCAACCAAUCAAAUCUCUAAACCCAAUAGGGAAAAAUUUUGACUUUUUAGAUCACAUUUCAACUGAGAAGAAAAACUCACAAUGGGUUCGCGCGGCAGCUGCAUGGCAGCGUUUAGAAAUACUUUUACCGUUGCACUUGAUCACACGAAGCAUACUUUUUCCGUUGCACACGAAGAUCUGGCCAAGUACCAACUGAAAACGCUAACAUGUAAAAAACAACAUACGCCUUUGUCUCUGGAGACUGAUACUGAUUCUAAUGAUGAUACCGAUUCUAAUAAGGAGACUAACAGUUCUGCUGAAUCUGUAGGUAGGUUCUCUCACUGGAAAUGAUGCUGACCCAAUAUUUAUGCACUAAUAUUUGGCAGUUAGGAGGUACUAUUAUGUAGCUUUAGGAAGUACUAUUAACUCCCAAUGUUUUUUUUGCUGAAAGUUGCAGUAGAUUUCGUUUUAUAAAAUUUGCAUAUAUACCUAUAGGUUGAUACAAAAACCGAAUAUUCGAAUACACCGAAUACCGGAGCAAUUCAGUCCAUUUGGCAAACACAAGCAAUUGUGAUACAAGCGAUUUAGACCGCAGCACUUAUAGCGGAAAUCCCAGUCAUGAAAUUCUACCUUUGAGCUGUAAGUUAGAAUUUAGCGAUGUGUUUAUUAUUUGAGCAAAUUAUAAGCAAACGUGCACUAUAUACAACUAUUUCAGUUUUAUGUUACCAACUUUUAUGUGUGCAUGUAUGUGUGCAUGAUAUAGCGGCCAUGUAGUACAGCCAUGCGCCGAAAUCUAGGAAAAUGUUAAAUAAUUAGAUAUCGAAGUACUUUAGUAAUAUACAAAAAAUUGCUUCAUAGCUGCAUGUUUCUUAUUUUAGUAGAUCCAGAAUGCAAUGCAUCAGCAAUUGCUGCAGGCUUCAGCGAUAUCGAAGACACCUCGACAUGCAUUCACACAGAUAGCGACUCUUCCAUAUCAAGUGAUGACACUAUGGAACUUUCUUCUGGUGAUAAUGAACAAACAAGUGAUUCAGACGAUGAAAUAAUAACCUCCCAAUACUUAGAACUGUUCCAGGGGUCUCCUUUAUCCGUGGAAGAACUUAAUGCGGUUCUACUAGCUUUGAAGCAGAGACACAAUUUUUCAAAUUUUGCUUUGGGUAGCAUUUUGAAAAUGCUUCAACUGUGUCUACCAGAUAGCACCAACCUUUCUGCAUCAAGCUACAUCUUGAAAAAAAGAAUGAAAGAGAGCUCACAUAUAUUUCCAUAAGAUAUGUGACAUGCAUGAAUUGCCAAAGCCCCUUGGUUGAUGACCUGUGCAGGAACGAAAAGUGCUCGUUACAUAGAAUGCCUGCAAAAGGAGGAAAUUCGAGUAUCUUUUAUGUUAUAGACAUUCUUCCAGAGUUAAAAAGAUUAAUAUCAGGCUAAUGGCAUAUUAUUAAAAGAUUUACUGUGGCCUACCAGCAUACUUUUGUGAUAUUUACAAAGAUAUAUUAGAUGGAAAAUCAUAUCAAUCGCAGAGUACUGAAGUACGAAAAGAUGGUCAUUUCCCAAUCACCCUUUAUUGGCAUGUUGAUGGAGCACCCGCGUUUAGAUCGAGCAGCGCCUCUAUCUGGCCUGUUCAGAGCUUUGUUGUCGAACUUCCACCACCAUUGCGAUAAUCUUUUAAGAACAAUAUAAUGUUCUGUAUUUGGUAUGGAAAACGAAAACCGAAUAAGGAGGUUAUAAGGAGGGAAAACCGAAUAAACAGAAAUUUGUUGAAGAAGUGAUUCAUUUAGGCUCUGGCCCGACAAUUUCUAUUGGUGAUCUUGAAUCAAAGUUUAAACUAGUCGUAAAUGGGCAAGUUGUUGACUUAGUCGCAAAAGCCCCCUCUGUUAAUUUUAUCCAGUUCAAUGGAAAGUCUGGCUAUUGUUCUUGUCUCCAUUCAGGGCAAAAAAUGGUUGGCCCUGGUAAUAAACGUGUUUAUCCUUAUACGAGCACGCCAUUUCCACGCCGCACACACGAAGAUACAGUAGCUUACGCACAAAUAGCUUAGGAAACAGGAGAAACAGUUUUUGGAGUAAAAGAGCGGUCGAAUGUGCAUUCAAUUCUCAAGAUUCCAGGGAAAGUUGAGAUCAUUCAAAGAAUUUAAAAGAUGGAAAGCUAGUGAAAAGCAGGCCUUUUUCCUCCACGCUAGCCUUCCAAUUUUGAAAGAUAUUCUGCCAUCGGAGUUCUUUUUCCAUUUCUCGUCACUGGCGUUCGGAUUUUAUGUUAUGGAUAUAACAUUACUGAGGACCAGAUCUAUCUCAGUUGCUGGGGCUAUGCUCGACAGUUACACAAGGAUGCUUCCGAAACUGUAUGAUAUUUCAGAAGCAACUUUCAACUCGCAUUCCCUCACCUUGCCGAACAUGGGCCUUGCUUAGAGAGCAUUGGCCUUUAAUCCUUCAUUCUGCUUUUGUGUUUGAAUCAAUGCUUGCGCAUCUUAAAAGGCUGUUUCAUGGUACACGGGGAAUACCAGAUCAGAUAUGUAAAAAUCAGUAAGAAAGAAAUCAGUAUGCUUUCUUGUUGAUAUUAAAGAAGCUGACAAAUAUUUUGGAGAAGUAAAAUUUUUCGUGAAGAAGGAGAACACUGGUUUCGCAAUAAUAAGGGUUUAUCAUAGUUUAAAUUAUAACGAGUGUCAAGAAGGUUUACCCCCGCCAACAGAUCCAGUCCUGAAAGAGUUUUUGCAUUCAGGUCAUCUUGGUUCUCACUUCAUUGCUGUGGAAAGACAACCCUGGUGAAGUUUGUAAAUUGCUCAUCCUUUAUUGGUAAGAUAAUUUUGGUGGAAAGACAAAACGAUAGUUCUUUUGGUUUUGUUUCCCCAGUUCUCAAGUGUUAUUAGAAUGACUAAUUGAAACUGUUACCAAUUUUAAAAAUCUUUCAAAUUAUGAACCUUUAAAACUUUCGUAAGAAUAUAUGUAAUAAUCCUGUAAUAACGCAAAACGAUUUAAAAAAAUCUUGUAAGAAUAUGGUAAGAUCUUAAAGAGAUCCUGUAAGAAUUUCUUUAGGGCUUCUUUACUAUGAGUUGACCUACCAGGUUAGAUAAACAAAUAACCUAGAUUACCGUUUAUAAUUGCAAAACCAAGUGAAACCUUGUAUAAGCAACUUGGUUAGAUGCUUUAGCAAGCACAUGACAUGCAGCAUAAGGCAUCUGCUAAUGGAAUAAAAUCUGCUAAUGUUGGCCCCAAAACUCGUCAGACUUGCUGAGGGAAAGAACUUCUCAGGAGAGGGAAAGAAAUUGCUAAAUCUUACGAAAUGUGGAGAGAACAUCGAGUGUGGUGCUGAUAGUGAAAGUGCUGAAUUGAAUGCAGUGGAACAAGCUUAUGUUGCUUUAUGUCUGUUGCCAAUGAUGCUAGAAAGUCAACAGCAAUGUGCAAUCCAGCAUCAUAUCUUUGUCAGUUUCGAGAAGCUAAAGAUGUCACAAGAAGUUCAAAGCCUGGCAUGGGACCAUAGAAGAGCCUCAGGUAGAUGAAGUGUACGGUUGUUGCUAAAAAUCGAGUUGUUUUCUCAAGACUACCAUUACUUCAUGCUGUGGAGAUGAUGAUGCUCCUGUAUUAUGUUUGCAACAUUGAAUACCCGAGAGAGUAUAGCAAUACAAUUGUAUUUUUACAAAGGCAAAUGCUGAA